rnacentral:rRNA from 1 species
UACGAGGGGGGCAAAUGUUGUUCGGAAUCACUGGGCGUAAAGGGAGCGUAGGCGGGUUUUUAAGUCAGGUGUUUAAUCCCGGGGCCCAACCCCGGACCGGCACUUGAAACUGGGAAACUUGAAUAGUGGAGAGGUCAGUGGAAUUGGGGGUGUAGCGGUGGAAUGCGUAGAGAUCCCCAAGAACACCAGUUGCGAAGGCGGCUGACUGGACACAUAUUGACGCUGAGGCUCGAAAGCAUGGGGAGCAAACAGG